rnacentral:rRNA from 1 species
CCCUUAGAUGUUCUGGGCCGCACGCGUGCUACACUGAGUGGAUCAGCGGGUCAGGUUGCGCGAAAGCGUUUCCUAAUCUUUAAAUCCGCUCGUGAUGGGGAUUGACGGUUGCAAUUUUCUGUCAUGAACGAGGAAUACCUUGUAAGCGCGGGUCAUCAUCCCGCGCUGAAUACGUCCCUGCCCUUUGUACACACCGCCCGUCGCUCCUACCGAUUGAAUGGUCCGGUGAAAUCUUCGGAUUGAGACUUUGAUUUGUUUACUCAAAACGCUGUUUCAAGAAGUUGAUUAAACCUUACCAUUUAGAGGAAGGUGAAGUCGUAACA